rnacentral:rRNA from 1 species
ACGCGUAGGCGGGAUGGCAAGUCGGGUCGUGAAAUCCUUCGGCUACAACCGAAGAACGUCGGCCGAUACUGCCGUUCUUGAGGGAUGCAGAGGAGACUGGAAUUCCCGGUGUAGCGGUGAAAUGUGUAGAGAUCGGGAGGAACACCGGUGGCGAAGGCGGGUCUCUGGGCAUCUCCUGACGCUGAGGCGCGAAAGCGUGGGGAGCAAACGGGAUUAGAUACCCCGGUAGUCCACGCCAUAAACGAUGACGACUAGGUGUGGGGUGGUUCAGUCCACUCCGUGCCGCAGCUAACGCAUUAAGUCGUCCGCCUGGGGAGUACGGCCGCAAGGUUGAA